UCCCUGGUGGCUCAGACAGUAAAGCGUCUGCCUACAAUGCAGAAGACCCAGGUUCAGUUCCUGGGUUGGGAA
rnacentral:tRNA from 1 species